CACAGAGAGGUUAUGUGAAUUUCCUGAGGCCAUGUGUCUGGUAAGCAGAGGAGCCAGCAAACCUUUGUACAAGGUCAUGGACCUUUGGCAGAAAUCCUGCAGCUGUGAUGCUGAGUCUUCAUUGCAUCCUGUCAGGUUCUGAGCUCGGCAAACCAGGGACUGUCUUAUGCAUUUUUGUAUCUGUACUGGCCUGCACAAUACUCGAUUAAUG